GACGAACGCUGGCGGCGUGCUUAACACGUGCAAGUCGAACGAUGAAGAAGAGAAACGCGAACUUCGGUUCAAAUUUCACUUCGGAUUAGUGGCAGACGGGUGAGUAACGCGUGAGCAACCUACCUCUUACAAAGGGAUAGCCUCGGGAAACCGUGAUUAAUACCAUAUGACACAUUCAUAAGGCAUCUUAAGAAUGUUAAAGCUACGGCGGUAAGAGAUGGGCUCGCGUCCCAUUAGCUAGUUGGUGAGGUAACGGCCCACCAAGGCGACGAUGGGAAACCGGCCUGAGAGGGUGAACGGUCACAUUGGAACUGAGACACGGUCCAAACUCCUACGGGAGGCAGCAGUGGGGAAUAUUGCACAAUGGAGGGAACUCUGAUGCAGCGACGCCGCGUGAGCGAUGAAGGAAUUCGUUUCGUAAAGCUCUGUUCUAUGGGAAGAAAAGGACUGUACCAUAGGAGAAAGCCCCGGCUAAAUACGUG
rnacentral:rRNA from 1 species